rnacentral:rRNA from 1 species
AUGAACGCUGGCGGCGUGCCUAAUACAUGCAAGUCGAGCGAACAGACGAGGAGCUUGCUUCUCUGACGUUAGCGGCGGACGGGUGAGUAACACGUGGAUAACCUACCUAUAAGACUGGGAUAACUUCGGGAAACCGGAGCUAAUACCGGAUAAUAUAUUGAACCGCAUGGUUCAAUAGUGAAAGACGGUUUUGCUGUCACUUAUAGAUGGAUCCGCGCCGCAUUAGCUAGUUGGUAAGGUAACGGCUUACCAAGGCAACGAUGCGUAGCCGACCUGAGAGGGUGAUCGGCCACACUGGAGCUGGGACACGGUCCAGACUCCUACGGGAGGCAGCAGUAGGGAAUCUUCCGCAAUGGGCGGGAGCCUGACAGAGCAACGCCGUGUGAGUGAUGAGGGUCUUCGGAUCGUAAAACUCUGUUAUUAGGGAAGAACAAAUGUGUAAGUAACUAUGCACGUCUUGACGGUACCUAAUCAGAAAGCCACGGCUAACUACGUG